UACAGAGAGAGACUGUUGUUCAAAGCAAGGUGUGGUUUCCAUUUGCAUUUGUCGGAAAAUAUCCAAAAGGGUCCCCAAAUGGAUUCGUAGACCACAUUGGCUGCUGCUGCUGCUGCUGCUGUGUUCCCGGCGAAUACGUCGAAUGGAUUUCCCUGGGGGUAGCCGCCGCUGCUGUAUCCACCGGCCCUCUGCAUCUGCAGCUGCCUGCGCGAAGCCUCGUCGUCGUACAGGCUGUCCAGCAACAGCUUGUCGAAGCCGCCACCCUGCAUGCCACUCGACAAUAAUUAGGGUUAGGGUUAGGGUUAAUCAAUAUUGUCAAUUAUCAGAAAGAAGACAUGUAGAUCUAGUAGACAGAGGAGACGGACCAUCUUGGUUUCGGCUACUUGAGGAGGUCUGGUCAUGUUGCUGGGCUGCGUCACCAGCGCCAGCUCCCAUCCCGUGCUCUCGGCCAGAGGAGCCUUGUUGUCGGAGGAGGAGGAGGACAGCAAAUCGUUGCCUGCGGGGAGGAAAGGAAUUGUAUAUAUAUUGUGAUCAUCUUCUUUGAUUGAUUGAUUAGUGUUACCGACCGGGUUGGAUGAUAGCGAGCGCCAGGGCGUUGCUUUCUUCGAUCUUCUUGGCUUCCGGGCUCAGUUCUCGCAGCAGUCCCUUCAUUAAUUAGGCCAAACAUAGAAUAGAGAUGAGAUUGAGAUUGUGAUGAGUAAAGCCAAGAAAGAAAGCAAGAAGGAAAGAAAAAAAGGUGGUGUAGAGAUGUUAGAACAUGUGCCAACAACAACUACAACUUACGAGCAGGUCAUCCUCUUCAUGGACUACUGCUGAUGGAGGAGGAUCCACCACUUUAGCAUCGGUGGAGGACACAUGUACAAUCUCCUCCUGUGAAUCCACACCUGCUCCUGGAGUCUCGGUCUCUACUUCUUUCACUUCCUCUUCAGGUUCCUCCGCUGUUUCGGGCUCUUCAUUUGUGUUCUGUUGCUGUUAAGGAAAGGAAAGGAACAUUGCCGACCGAAUAUGAUCAAAUUUCAUCAUCGCUUCUGUUAUAUAAAAAUCAACUAGGAAAAUUAUAUGAUCCUCUCACCAUCUUCUCUCGGGGUGCUUCCUUGAUAUAUUCCUCCAUGGUUGCAAGGAAUGAGGGAGGAGGCUGGCGAGUUCAACAGCAUAGAAUCAUCAGGAAACAACAACAUCAACAAGCCCAACAUCGGAUUUUCUCUUUUUCUUUUCUUUUCUUUUCUUUUCUUUUCAAGUUAGAAAUGAAAUGAUGAACCUGUCUUAAUGUGGGGAAGUGAAAUGUGUGAGCAAGAUCCAGAGUUUUGCAGAAGCUGUAGAAAUCGGCUAGUUGGUCUGCCUAUAGAAAGAACAUAAAGAUCAGUUCGCAUGCAUUCAACGAUUCCAUAAGAGAGGUAUAGCCUAUAGGUAGAGAACAAACAAACGACCUGUCUCCCAGCUCUUUUGUAGAUGUCCAGAGCUUUAAUGGCUUCAUGCUUAGGCAUCUCAAAAUACUGCAAAACGAGAGAGAGAGAGAGAACGUUAUGAACAAUGCUUGGUUAAGAUGCCGGCAAGGCCACCGAGGGGAACACGAAACAUUCAUGCUUACCAUAUCCACAAGAUUAACGAUCCCAUCAUUGAUGGAACAGUACACUUUGAAGCUCUCCUUGACAACCUGUUUCAUUGGGCAGCAAAUGCAGUUAGUCCGAACAAACGAGCCAGCUAGGCAUCCGAUCGGCUUUCAACGAAUUCAGUGUUUACCAGAGCAAAGGCGUAUUGGAUGAGAAAGUUGCGGCAGGCAAGUCCUUCAGGCUGCAAGAGAUGAGGUUGGUUGGUUAUAAGCCAUAACCGUAAAACAAAAGAUGAUUGGAACUAUGGCAUCCGAGCAUUACUUGGCAACAGAGUAGGCGGUACAGAAGCUGCUGCAGUGAAGGAUGUCGAGGAACAGACAGCGCAAUUGCUGAAGAAGAAGAAGCAUUACUUACUUUGGGCGCCCCUGGUUUCGACACUCUGUCAGCCUCAAUAUCGAAGUGCAGUGCUCUUAAGCACUCGAGUCUUUCCUCUAGAAAGAGCGCGUAUGCACGGACCCAGGCAGAGCAAUCCCAAGCUGCAUCAGAAGAAGAUAUGUUUAAUCCAUUCAAAAACAUGUUGUUGUGAUUAUGGAAAAUGAUUCACUGGCUGGGUCUUCACCUAGACU